rnacentral:rRNA from 1 species
CGCGGGCGCCGGAUCUUCAACCCCUGUGUACCUAGACACUCUCCACUGCCCCGGCGGGCUUGACCUCGCCUAAGCAUACGAGAGCCCACGGUUGCCUCGGCGGGCAAACCCCCGCCCUUCGUAACAACCCCGGCGCGCGGUUGGCCGCGCUCACCGCGCGUGCCGGCAUAUGCGCCGGCUGAAAGCCUUCGGAGAACGGCUGAUGGCCGUGGCCCUGCCCGCACGCUACCCGCGCGCGAGCUAGAGGUCCGCCAGGCGACGCCGGAGUACGUAGGGGAAGGGCGGGCGCCCGCCGCCCGGCCAACGCAAGACCGCCUUUAUCGAGAUGGUAUCGUCUGAUUUCAGGAAAACAAGAAAAUACAACUUUUAACAAUGGAUCUCUUGGCUCCGGCAUCGAUGAAGAACGCAGCGAAAUGCGAUAACUAGUGUGAAUUGCAGAUUUCAGUGAAUCAUCGAGUCUUUGAACGCACAUUGCGCCUCUUGGUAUUCCUCGAGGCAUGCCUAUUCGAGCGUCGUUUCGCCCCUCAAGCGCAAGCUUGGUGUUGGGGAUCGCCCCUGAGACACGGCGGCGUCCCUCAAAUCCAUCGGCGGUGCCGGUCCCAGCCCAAAGCGCAGCAGACAUGCGGCUUCUGGACGGCCUGGCGCCCGCCGGACAACCCACGAAAC